AAGGGAGGCUGGGGUUCAUUUUCGAGUAGUAUUUUAUACUUUAGUGAACGUGGACUCCAGACUCUCUGUG
rnacentral:precursor_RNA from 1 species